CUCCACUGUAAUAUUCCUGCUCUCCCAAAUAAUGAUCAUCAUUGCAAUAGUCUUGGACUUCAUGUUCUUCACGACAAAUAGUAGGUCGACGCCCAUCACCAGUUUCAGAUCUGAGAAACCUAGAUUCCCAUAGAUGAACAUGCACCAGCCUCCUCAGAAAGGGACGUGUCUUUGUUUUUGAGAACACUUUGGUGGGAUUCUCUCCUGUUCUCCCAGAGCACUGGUUUGCAACAGGCGUCACUCAGACAGGAUGGAGUGCCAUGCAACAGCUUGCAAGCAUAACUCAAGCUUAAGAAAGAUGAGAUGAACCAGUCCAAUGGUUAUUUAGCAAACCAGUGACACACACAGCGCUGAACAACAUAAUUACAUGAGAAACCCAGGCAUGCCUUCAAUUAGGCCUCCCCAUAAAUGCACGAGAUGAUUCAAAUGAGGAUGGUAAUUCUGAGCAGCUGUGCUUCAGGGGGCACAACAGCACCUGCAGGGUCCUCAGGAUGGCACGAGGCACGGGGACUCCAGUGCUGGGUCCUAAACAGCAUCUCAAGAGACAAGGAAUGAUGCCCCUGUCUCUGACACACCAUUGACAUGACAUGUAUGUGAUUCCAAAUGUUGGAAUAA